CAGUCGCCGCGGUAAUACGUAGGGUGCAAGCGUUAAUCGGAAUUACUGGGCGUAAGGCGUGCGCAGGCGGCUAUGCAAGACAGAUGUGAAAUCCCCGGGCUCAACCUGGGAACUGCAUUUGUGACUGCAUGGCUAGAGUACGGUAGAGGGGGAUGGAAUUCCGCGUGUAGCAGUGAAAUGCGUAGAUAUGCGGAGGAACACCGAUGGCGAAGGCAAUCCCCUGGACCUGUACUGACGCUCAUGCACGAAAGCGUGGGGAGCAAACAGGAUUAGAUACCCCCGUAGUCCCUGUCUCUUAUAC
rnacentral:rRNA from 1 species